AGGACGAACGCUGGCGGCGUGCUUAACACAUGCAAGUCGAGCGGAAAGGCCCCUUCGGGGGUACUCGAGCGGCGAACGGGUGAGUAACACGUGGGCAACCUGCCCUCAGCUCUGGGAUAACUCCGGGAAACCGGGGCUAAAUACCGGAUACUACGUCGGGAGACAUCUCCUGACGUGGAAAGAUUCAUCGGCUGAGGAUGGGCCCGCGGCCUAUCAGCUUGUUGGUGGGGUAACGCCUACCAAGGCGACGACGGGUA
rnacentral:rRNA from 1 species